GAGAGUUAAAGCGAAAGCAGCAAGCGGCGCACUUUCUAUUUCGGUUCCUCGACGUUUUUUCUUGUUGUUCUUUCUUUGAGGCCGGCCAUCGGCGUUGAUCCACCACGGAAACACACGUACACACCACCGAAUAAGCCUCACCCUAUCCAGUAAGAACUAGCAAUGACGUCAGAGUCACACCUUGAGGAGGCGGAUGAUAACCUCCACAAUCGGCACGCCGAUACACAGGUCCUCGCUGACGUGGAUAACGAGUACUCUGACGAGUAUGUCCACCCUGGUGCCCGUCGCCUCUACGCCAAGCUUCCCUUCAUGCAGCACAUCCCCAUCUUCAGCGAGGCCGCCACCUCCUAUGGCCCUGGUUGCAUUGGGUCACUUGGUAUUUGCUACCUCCUGUGUAAGGGUAUUGCAAACAGCAUUAUCGGUUACGCGAAGCAGCCACUCUUCAUGAACCGCUACGGUAUUAGCGGCCUGCGCUAUCAGCGCCUCUCCAGCAUUACCUCGAUGGGCUGGUCCAUCAAGGCCUUUACAGCCAUGCUGUGCGACGCCUUCGCCGCCUUCGGGUACACGAAGCGUUGGUACAUGUUCGCUUCCUGUCUGCUCGGCGGCGUCUUCGCCCUCAUUUUGGGUCUGCUGCCUGCCAAGGAAUCGUCCGCGAACACCGCCUGCGCCUUCAUCUUCCUUACUGCCUUCAGUAAGGCCAACGUGGAUAUCCUCUCCGAAGGUCUCUACAGUCGUCUGAUGCGCCGUCGGCCCAAGGCUGGUGCCGCGCUGGUGAGCUGGAUCUGGUGGUUCAUCAUGGUGGGUGCCAUCAUCGCGGCCGCCAUCCAGGGACCGCUGUCCGACUCCAGCAUGGUACAGGUGGGCAUCUUUAUCGCUGCCGGCCUGCAGGUGGUUUGUGCGCUGAUCUUUUUCUUCAACCUGUACGAGGAGCGCACUAACAGAGUGGAGCGUUGGGAGGAUGCGCUUGCGCUGGAGGCGGAGAUGCGUGCGGAGCUGGGCAUGGACGUGGCAGCAGCGCAGGCUCGGCUGCGUGCUCAGAUGCAGCUCGCUCACAAGAGCCCCUGCAGCACCAGCACCGAGGUGGAGCCCAUCACCAUGCCCAUGAAGGAUGUCGCUCCCCACGAGGGACAGAGGUUGGAGGUCAGUGGUGCCCUGGUGACGGAGCUGGCUGACACAGCAGAGCAGGAUGAUGAGGACCUACAGAGCCUCGAAGCGGCGGCGCGCGCUCGCGUGGGUGAGCCCAUCACAUGCCUCUUCGGGGUCUUUGAGGUCAACAGGGAUGUCUUUGGCCGUAACUGGAGGAUCUUCGCGUACAGCGUAAUCAUGACGUGCGCCGUCGUCGCCAUGACGUGCGGCAACAUUCUUGCCGACACGCUUGGUCUGCUGAUCCUCUGCGUCAUUGUCUCCGUUGUCUGCUGUGCUGCAUCCUUCUGGGCCCUGCCCCUUGUCAUCGCCAAGGCGAACGUCUUUGGCUAUCUGCAGAUGGUCUUCUAUCUGCAGCUGCCUGGCGCGCUCGACAGCUUCUACCUCGCUGAUGAGGAAUGCCUCCCCGGCGGCCCGCACUUCUCGUACACCUUCUACAAUACGGUGAGUGCCCUCAUCGGCAACGUUGGUGGUCUUGCUGGUAUCACCGUAUUCAACUACAUCUUCUCCAAGCACAGCUACCGGCUGACUCUUGUCGUCACCACCACUGUGCAGAUCCUUGCCUCCGUCUUCGAUAUCAUUAUGGUGAAGCGCUGGAACAUCGCAAUUGGCAUCCCGGACCGCGCCAUGUACAUCAUGGGCGACGCCGUUGUGUUUCAGGUGUGCUACUAUCUGACGUGGAUGCCAGUCGUGAUUCUGCUCUCGCGCCUGUGCCCUCGCGGCUCGGAGAGCAUGGUGUACGCGCUGAUGGCUGGUUUUGCCAACCUCGGAGAGACGAUGGCGACCUCGAUCGGCUCGCUGAUCAUGGAGUACGCCUGGGGCAUCGUGACAACCCCACCGUGCGACUUCAGCAACGUGCCCAUGCUCUUGCUUGUGGGCCACAUCCUGGCUCCCAUUUUGAUCAUCCCACUCUCCUUGCUGCUGCCGGCAGCGCGUGUCUGCGACGACAUCAACGUGGACGGAGAGGCAGUCAAGAGAGAGGCGAAGAAGUACAUCUCGCACGACGACAGCGACAGCAGUAGUGCCGCCGGCAAGCAUUGAACAAGGAAAAGGCAAUCCUUCCGAAAAGAGACUCUGGAACCAUAAAGCGGCCAUUAGAAGAGACGAGAGUGCAACGUUGCUUCGCCCUCUGUUUUUUCUUCAGGUUUGGCGUUGAAGGGUGUGGGAGCGUUCUCACGCCCUUUUCGCCCUGUUCCAGUUGUGUGAUGAGCAGAAGGGGCAUCCCAACAAUCUCGCCUCCCUGUAUGUCCGCUUCCACGUCUUUGGAGCGCGAUGUGCACAUGCGCAUCAUCUUCUGGGUCCUUUGUUUUUUUUUCUCUCUGUGGUACCUCCUAUCCUAGCAUCGAUGCAUCCGACCAACACACACAGCGCCCCCCCCCUCUCUUCCUCAUCUCUCAGCAUCUCCACAUUGCCGUCUUCUCAUCCUUUUCUUUUUCGCCUUGUUUGUGCGCGUGUGCGUUUGCAGGGAAGAUGAGGGAAUCUACGACAUCUGUUGAUACCCAUCUUCGCCAUGAUUGCAUUUCUUGGGUUCCUCGGCGGUGUCCUUCUCUACGAUGUUAACCAAAGUCGGCCUCCUUCCCCCUCCUCCCUUUCCCUCUCGUUUAGCUGUUUUGUCGUUUGUGGUUUUGAUGUGAAAAAAAUCUCUGCUGGCGUUUUCCUCUACCCGUUCUCCCUCUGUGUGUAUAUGCGUGUAGGUAUGUGUGGGUGGGUGGGUGUCUUCGCAUACAUUUUUCGCAGCGCACCCUCUCGAGUGGUCUCCGUAGAGAGAAAGACCCGUUUAGUGGAAGCGGUGGACAAGAAAGCGAGAGAGCGUAGUCCUUCCCAUGUGAAGAUGCUGCGGCUGCAGAGGACAACUAUACACAACUCCCCCCCCUUACCCACCCACACACACACACACAAGCAGAGAGGGAACAGGGCACAGCAGACACUUCCCUUUUGUUCAUAUCUGUUAAGGGUUCGCCCCUAUCUUUAGUCUUUCCUUCCCCUUCCCCUUCCCCCCCCAUUCUUCUUCGUUACGCUUGUGAAAUUCCUUGACACAUGCACGAGACACAUCGAUCCUCUUCUUGUUGUUUGGUGCGGUGUGUGUUGUUUUCGUAUAUUCGCUUCCUUCUUUCCCCCUUCCCUCCUCCUCCCUCCCCCUUCUUUUUUUGGUUCAUGCAUAAUAUACGUCUAUACAUGUACACAUAAAUAGAUGAUGUGCCUCUGUGUGCCUGUCAUGGUUUCCUUUCACGGCGUACUCUAUGUUGUUUGUUUCCUCUCCCCACCCCACCCCCUUCUCGCCGCUUUUCCCUCUUUGUGCGUGUGUGUUGUGUGCGUGUUGCUUGCUUUCUCUCUUGUUUUGGUUUGCCGAUCUACAUCCCUAAUUCGUUUGCAUGUGCCGACACUGUAUUUCUGUCCAUUCUGCGGGUGUGUAUCUGGCCGAGAGGGAGAGACACAACGAUCGGUGCGGAGAGAGACGUAGGGGGAGGGGGGCUGAGGGAUCGAGGGCGCAAUGGAGUACAUGGCAACGCCCUGUUGUUGCGCCUCUUGUUCCUCUGCCCCCUUCCCCUCCUUCUCUUCCUCCUCCCUCACACGGCAUGAAUGACGAAUACGUCACACGCACACACACACACACACACACCGCUACGUUCAUGGGAGCAUACACAAGGUAAGAUUGUACACACUGUUUCUUGACUGGAAUAGUGCUGCUAACUCUCAAUCUCUGUUCUCUGUGUGUGUGUUUGUUUUCUGUAUGUGACCAAAGACACGGGGGGAGAGUCCGUUGUAAACUCGCUGCCGUGGCACGGGCGUUCUCUUGCUGACGAUGUCUACGCCUGGCAAAGAGAAGCUUUUCAACGAGCAUGCUUCCCCACCUCACCCUUCUCGCACACACGCACAGGCACAUCACUGCUUCGCUUCGCUCUUUUUCUUCGCUGCCCGUGUUUCUUCUUCUGCGUGUAUGCGUACACACGGCGUCCACGUGGUUGGAGAACGGGUGCAAGAGGAAGGGGAGACAUGGAAAGCGAGCACUGGCUGUUGUACACAUUAUCCUUCUUUUUUUGCUUGUUGUCGGCGUUCUUCUUGAGCUGACGUGUGUGCCUGAGCGCACGCGGGCUUGUCCUUUUCUGUUUACCAAAUGCAUAUAUAUAUAUAUAUAUCGUCAAACUCGGCAUUGUGCUGAUUCCGUGUCUGCGUGCGCGCGAGAGAACGAGUAGCAGAGCUUUUUUCGUGUCGUAUUUUUUUUUUCGGCAUGCCUUCCACGUCGUCUCUUAUUUUUGAUUCCACGCAUAUAUGUUUACCGCUACGGUGACAUCGUCGUUGGCUACAUCAUCUCUGGUAUGCCGCUCCCUGCCCCUCCCCUUUCCCUCUCCCUUUCUUUUUUGGGUGUUUUAGUGUUUGGUUUAUCAAUAGUAGUAUUGCGUUGAACCCUCUUCUUCCCUCCCCCCCACUUCUGCCAGCCAAUACCAACAUCACCACUACCAUCACCUCAACUCCUUAGCCCACCCACCUCAUUCCCGCUGGGUCAGCGGUGCGGUGGCUAGCCCUCCUUUACUGUCGUCUUGCGCACUUAUCUCCUCCUCCAGCCCAGACCCCGGCUGGCGCACAUGUGCGUGCGUGUGCGUGUGUGUUAUUUUGUGCUGGCUUUGCUCCGUUUUGUUUGUAACCUUACUCCCCCUCCCCCUUUUUUUCCGCUUUCGAAGCGCGUGUGCAUUUUCAACCUGCGUCAUCAUUCUCUCAAGAACGGUUGCACGGUAGGUGAGCUUCUCUACUCGUUGGCGCAUGUCUUUCUCUGGAAUAUGCGUAGGCGCGCAUGGGAAAAGCAAAAGCGGAAGGGGUCCGCAGCGCACGCUCGCAGCUUCUUGCCCUUUUCUCUCCAACUCAGCUUCCCUUGAGCCCCCACUCACUCCUCUGUCACGAAUGAUGCCCUCACCUUGAAACCAGCGAGCCGCCGUUGAUUUGUUGUACAUCCCCUUACCGCCAUCCUCAACGCCGAUCCGCACGCACACCUCCACGCGGGCUUUGCGCGCAAGUGCCGUUGUAUUCAACUCCGCCCCCACCCCCUCCUGCAUCUGCCUUACCGACGUGGACGUUGUUGUGUGUGGUGUGUGGUGUGUGCGUUUUUUUUUUGAUUGUGUAUAUCAGUCACGCAGUACGUCUAUUUUUGCUCUUCUUGGUGCCCCAUUCUCCGCCGCACAAGACGAGGCCAGCUCCACUGUAGGCCUGUCACGGGCCCUAUCGCACGCUGCCAAGCAGCGCUAGACACACGCGUCACGGCAAUGCACCGACUCAGUGACCUGAGCGCGGCCUCUGUCUCCAACUCCGCCCGCCCCCGCCUCGCAGGCUGCACACCGGUGGGCAGUGAGAGUGGGGUGGGCGGGUGGGAUACGUUCGAGUUGCGCUGGCACGUUGCCGGGCAUGUGGAUGGCGCAAACGUGCUCGCUGUCGCAGGUCGCACCAAGGCAGCCCCAUGCACACCACGGCCGCCGACGUCGGCAGCGAGGAGUCGCGCUGACCCCGCUGCGUCGUAGGCACUUGACGCUACCAUCACCAGAAGUGCCUUGGCACCGGCAGGGAUGGGGAGGAAGCAGGUGUGAGUGUGUGUAUGUGGGCACUGGGCCCUGGAUACCCCCUCCUCCCCACGCACUGAGGUGCGCUCCCUAUGCCGCCAGAAAGCCGCGAAACAGGACGGAGAGGAAGGGAUGCUCUCAGGUCUGCGUGACGUCACGGUGACAGAUGCGUCUUCUG
rnacentral:misc_RNA from 1 species